GGGCUUAUAGUUUAGGGGUUAAAACAUUCCGCUCAUAACGGAAGUAUCGUUGGUUCAAAUCCAUCUAGGCCCA
rnacentral:tRNA from 1 species